rnacentral:rRNA from 1 species
UAAAACGUAGGGGACAAGCGUUAUCCGGAUUUACUGGGCGUAAAGCGCCCGUAGGCGGCUUUGUAAGUUGGACGUGAAAGCUCCCGGCUUAACUGGGAGAGGCCGUUCAAAACUGUAGAGCUAGAGUGAGGCAGAGGAGUGCGGAAUUCCCGGUGUAGUGGUGGAAUGCGUAGAUAUCGGGAGGAACACCAGUGGCGAAAGCGGCACUCUGGGCCUAAACUGACGCUGAGGGGCGAAAGCGUGGGGAGCGAACGGGAUUAGAUACCCCGGUAGUCCACGCCGUAAACGAUGGAGACUAGGUGUAGGUGGAUAGAACCCCAUCUGUGCCGAAGCCAACGCGUUAAGUCUCCCGCCUGGGGAGUACGGCCGCAAGGUUA